GCUGCCUUCAGAUUCGACAUCACCUCUUCCCGGGGUCUCUAGCUUGUUGGCUCCAGAGUUGCCCGGGGUCACACAGCCAGUGAGUAGCAGAGCCGAGCUUCACAAAGCUCUACUGAUGUGACACCACAUGACUCUUCAUUGCCUUUAUCAUCCACAGCUGUGUUGGCCCCGCCUCCUCGAGCCUGAAGCCGACCCCUACCCUCAGCCUUACACUUCAGAGAAGGCAAGCCUGGGAAGCCUGCUGACUCCCGACCACUGUCUCCUCUGUUCCCUGUGGUACCGCCUAUGGUUCUUCACCUCUGCCCUGCACAGCCACACCGUCAGGAGGUGGGACACCGUUUGUCCCAGCCUCCUCCUGCCGACUCAGCCUCCCCCACCGCCAGCUGCAUUCUGCUCUCCUCCGAACCGGAGACUGCACUCGUCUUGUUCCAACUUCGGAAAUGACGAGGAAACCCCACGAAACCCUGGGGUCUGGCUCCGAAGAAAUCUCUGGGAGCCUGGAGACAAAUCAAACCGGAAUAAAGGGAGAAAAAAAAAAAAGAAAAAGCCCCAAACAUCACAAGCGGCCUUCAAGGAAGACAGGUGAUGCCGGUAUCACUGCAGAAGAUCCUCUGCGAAGAUCCUCUGCUCUAUUCCACGGAAUCCUGGCCCUCCCUCGGUCCUUCCCAAAUGACUGCUCCAAGCUGCAGAAUCUUGUGGAGGCAGACUGUGGCAGCACCUGAGCGGGCAGGUCCUUCUGGUCAUAGGAUGUAAGCAGAAGAGAUGUGCACAACUUCCCUGAGAGGGAAGAAGUCACAAGGCAUCAGGGAUGGAUGAGGAUCUGGGAGAACGAGACAACAGGCCCUACAGAGAGGAGAAGUGGAAGUGACCCAGGAGACCAAAGAAGACUUGACUCCACAGACUGGAAGGGAUGGCUGUCGUCACUGUUGCUGUCCUGGUCCUGCGGCACAACCACGGGGAACAAACCCCACAGCCUGACGGCAAGGGCCCUCUGAAGUCCCAGACCAGACACACACACAGGCCGUAGGGGGCUGGUGGUGAUGAUGGGGGUUGCCCGGCGGACCGACCGGUGCAGAGGCACCGUCACUGGUAGAGAAUGCAGUUAGUACUCUCACGACUGCUCACUCAGUAAUAUUCUAUGAAUAACGUUAGCCAUCAAUAAUCUUCUAUUUUCACCUGGCUCCCCUGGAUGCCUUUCUCGUCCUCCCACGCACACUUUCCGUCUCCAAGCCCUUCUCACCACUCAGCACUCAUAUGUGCCUUUCCUGCUUUAUGCCUGAUUUCAGUGAGGCACACAUCCCUCUCUGUUGUUAUUACAUUUUCCACCUUCCCCUCCCCCUCUCCCCACUUUAGGAAGAAGGACUCUUCAGGCCUGUUGGAUAAGUAAAUGCAUAAGUUGGGGCACUGGGCUGGCUCAGUCGGUGGAGUGAGUUUGGGCGGCACGUUGGGUGUAGAGGUUACUUAAAAAAUAAAAUCUUUUUUUUUAAUGUUUAUUUAUUUUUGAGAGAGACAGAGCAUGAGUGGGA